UUGCAUGGUUGGCUUAAAUCCGUGGUGACAAAUUGUUCUUUCUAUCUUUUACAAAUAACAAAUAGCAAUUGACGCGUAGUCAGUUGCAACAUAAAAUCACAACGACUCACAUUCUAAUACAAUCUUGUAUAAAUAUAAGCAGCCUAUGGUUAUAGCAUUGCUGUUGCAUAUGCGUAACUACGGCACAUAGGCGUGUAGCCUAUAUAACCCAUCAAAGUUGUCUUUAUGUCUUAGAUAUUUGUAGUUUUAGAAAAUAACGGAUACAAUUUAUUGUUAAAGUUAAUUGCAAGUAUAUUUGCCGUUAUUGUCACCCAUCUACACAAGCGUAUAAACAACGCUUCUUAUGACAAAUAACAAGUUUUCACAAUUAAAACAAGCCAAAUCAUCAUGGUGUUUAUAUUGUGGGCUAUUUGGUGUGAUACAUUAGAAAAAAAUAUCACAAUAGGUUGCUUUCUUGCGAGAGUUUGCAAAACCUAGAAAUUUUUUUAAUUCGAAUAGUUCUCUGAAACUCGAGAACUUGAAGUUGGAAUCGCCAGUAAUCGCUUAUCAGCUAUGAAGCGGUGAACAUUAUCGCUAGAGUGUAUUUACCGCCCGUCACGUUCUGAAAAUUUCUAUAUAGUCGAAUAUUUUGCUUUAUAAAUCCCAUAGCGGGAUGAUCUGCAUUUAACAUAUCUACGAACAUGUAGAAUUUUGCUGAUAUCACUAUAGGCAAAGUAAUAAAUUAUGUGUUUUAAUUAGGACUAAGUCGUAACAUGGUUUUUGUUCGGGAACGAGCGAAAGAUAUGAUAUUUU
rnacentral:rRNA from 1 species